UACGAAGGGUGCAAGCGUUACUCGGAAUUACUGGGCGUAAAGCGUGCGUAGGUGGUUUGUUAAGUCUGAUGUGAAAGCCCUGGGCUCAACCUGGGAAUUGCAUUGGAUACUGGCAGGCUAGAGUGCGGUAGAGGGUAGUGGAAUUCCCGGUGUAGCAGUGAAAUGCGUAGAGAUCGGGAGGAACAUCUGUGGCGAAGGCGACUACCUGGACCAGCACUGACACUGAGGCACGAAAGCGUGGGGAGCAA
rnacentral:rRNA from 1 species